GAGAGAGGAAGAGCAGCCGCCGCGACCACAAGUCGUGAGGAAAGUCCCUCCACCACUGGACACACGGAUGCCGAAAUGGCUUAGGGCGAGAGUUCUGGCUCUGACACAGAAACGCUUACCACGAUAUGCCAAUGCAAUGAUGCCGGAAGGCUGAGGUCGCAUAAUGCCCUGCCAUUGCGGGCAGUGGCAUCGAUGGAUCGCUUCUGGCGAUCCGUUAUCGAUGGAUGAAACGGUGAAUCCCCGUGGGUGCAAGCCAACACAGGGCAAUCGCGAAAGCGAGAAGCGGAGUCCAGCCGUGCCCGGGUAUGGCGCGUAGUCGAAUGCUGCUAUGAACAGAAGGGGGCUUACUCUCCUCACUC
rnacentral:RNase_P_RNA from 1 species